UCCGUGACGGCGUGCCUUUUGCAUAAUGAGCCUACGAGUUACCGUUGCUAGCAAGGUUAAGGACUUCAGGUCCGGAUCCGUAGCGAAAGCGAGUCUGAAUAGGGCGCUUUAGUUAGUAGUGGUAGACGCGAAACCGUGUGAUCUACCCAUGGGCAGGUUGAAGCUGUAGUAACAUACAGUGGAGGCCCGAACCGGUUGACGUUGAAAAGUCUUCGGAUGACCUGUGGGUAGGGGUGAAAGGCCAAUCAAACUCGGAAAUAGCUCGUACUCCCCGAAAUGCAUUUAGGUGCAGCGUUGAUUUAUAGUUUUAUAGAGGUAGAGCUACUGAUUGGAUGCGGGGGCUUCACCGCCUACCAAUUCCUGACAAACUCCGAAUGCUAUAAAAUGAUGACCGGCAGUGAGGGCAUGGGUGCUAAGGUCCAUGUCCGAGAGGGAAAGAACCCAGACCAUCAGCUAAGGUCCCCAAAUGUAUGUUAAGUUGAAUAAACGAGGUUGAACUGCUUAGACAGCUAGGAUGUUGGCUUGGAAGCAGCCAUUCAUUUAAAGAGUGCGUAACAGCUCACUAGUCGAGCGGUUCGGCAUGGAUAAUAAUCGGGCAUAAACAUACUACCGAAGCUAUGGACUUGUAAAAGUGGUAGGGGAGCAUUGUAGUGUCGUCGAAGGUGAAGCGUGAGCUUUGCUGGAGAAGCUACAAAAGAAAAUGUAGGCAUAAGUAACGAUAAUGCGGGCGAGAAACCCGCACUCCGAAAGACUAAGGUUUCCUCAGCUAUGCUAAUCAGCUGAGGGUUAGUCGGGACCUAACGCGAACCCGAAAGGGGUAGUGGAUGGACAACAGGUUAAUAUUCCUGUACCUGCUCACACUAAAAGUGACGGAGGCGAAUAGUUAGUGCGCACAGACGGAAUUGUGCGUUGAAGGGAACAGUAAUGUCCUGAUAGUACACUAAGACUACGGUCGCGGUGAUAAUCUAGCGAAUCGACUUCCAAGAAAAGCGAGUGAAGCAGCCCGUACCCUAAACCGACACAGGUAGUUGGGAUGAGAAUUCUAAGGUGCUCGAGAGAUUCAUGGCUAAGGAACUAGGCAAAAUAGACGCGUAACUUCGGGAGAAGCGUCGCCCAUCGUAAGAUGGGCCGCAGUGAAAAGAUCCAAGCGACUGUUUAUCAAAAACACAGGGCUCUGCUAAAUCGAAAGAUGACGUAUAGGGCCUGACACCUGCCCGGUGCUGGAAGGUUAAGUGGAGGGCUUAGAGGUUUACCUCGAAGGUCUGAAAUGAAGCCCCAGUAAACGGCGGCCGUAACAAUAACGGUCCUAAGGUAGCGAAAUUCCUUGUCGGGUAAGUUCCGACCUGCACGAAUGGCGUAACGACUUCCCCGCUGUCUCCAACAUCGACUCAGCGAAAUUGAAUUGCCUGUCAAGAUGCAGGCUUCCCGCGGUUAGACGGAAAGACCCCGUGCACCUUUACUACAGCUUCGCACUGGCAUCAGGAUUGUGAUGUGCAGGAUAGGUGGUAGGCAUCGAAACCGUGACGCUAGUCGCGGUGGAGCCUUCCUUGAGAUACCACCCUUCGCACUCUUGAUGUCUAACCGCGGCCCAUUAUCUGGGUCCGGGACCCUGCGUGGCGGGUAGUUUGACUGGGGCGGUCGCCUCCUAAAGCGUAACGGAGGCGCGCGAAGGUUGGCUCAGAGCGGUCGGAAAUCGCUCGUUGAGUGCAAUGGCAAAAGCCAGCCUGACUGCGAGACUGACAAGUCGAGCAGAGACGAAAGUCGGCCAUAGUGAUCCGGUGGUCCCGAGUGGAAGGGCCAUCGCUCAACGGAUAAAAGGUACGCCGGGGAUAACAGGCUGAUACUGCCCAAGAGUCCAUAUCGACGGCAGUGUUUGGCACCUCGAUGUCGGCUCAUCUCAUCCUGGGGCUGGAGCAGGUCCCAAGGGUACGGCUGUUCGCCGUUUAAAGAGGUACGUGAGCUGGGUUUAGAACGUCGUGAGACAGUUCGGUCCCUAUCUGCCGUGGACGUUGGAAAUUUGAGAGGGGCUGCUCCUAGUACGAGAGGACCGGAGUGGACGAACCCCUGGUGUUCGGGUUGUCACGCCAGUGGCAUUGCCCGGUAGCUAUGUUCGGAAAGGAUAACCGCUGAAAGCAUCUAAGCGGGAAACCUGCCUCAAGAUGAGAUUUCCCGGGCCUUCGGGCCCCUAAAGGACCGUAGAAGACUACUACGUUGAUAGGUUGGGUGUGUAAGCGCUGUGAGGCGUUGAGCUAACCAAUACUAAUUGUCCGUGAGGCUUG
rnacentral:rRNA from 1 species